CGCUAGGUCCGCAGGGCGCUGACCCCUGGGGGCCCGAGGAGCGCCGGGCUGCUGCCCCGAGCCCCGCCCACUACAGCCUCAGUGCAUGGCGGUGGGCGCUUCCAGUAACUCAGGGGUGGGACUUUUUUCUUGCUCAGGGGAUGAGGCCGAGCCCACAGGCUUAGAAAGAAGGAACUUGAGUCCGGGCACCUGUCAUCCCAGCGCUUAGGGAGGCCGAGGCGGGUGGAUCACCUGAGGUCAGGAGUUCGAGACCAGCCUGGCCAAUAUGGCGAAACCCCCGUCUCUACUAAAAAUACAAAAAUUAGCCGAGCAUGGUGGCAUGCACUUCCAGCUACUUGGAAGGCUGAGGCGGGAGAAUGGCUUGAACCUGGGAGGCGAGGGUUGCAGUGAGCUGAGAUCGCACCACUGCACUCCAGCCUGGGUGACAGAGCGAGACUUCGUCUCAAAAAAAAAGAAGAAGAAAGAAGGAAGCUGAGGUUCAGACAGGCUAAGUCCCUACUGCAGGCUGCGGAAUCUAAAAAGGUCAUGAACUCUGAGAGUUUGAGAUGAGCCUCUAAAAGCUGUAUCAAUAGCACCUUGCACUGUUGAAGCAGUGUAAAUAUGGAAUACAAUUCUAUUGUGAUGAUACAGCAAAAAAAGUGUUAGAAAGAAGAGUCACUUUCUUUGCCAUGAACUCUGAGAAUUUGGGCUGCAUU
rnacentral:lncRNA from 1 species